UCCGGACUUAGGUCGCUCAACCUGGCGGGUCUCGGAGAGAGGGCGGGACCGGCCGGGAGCGGCGCGGAACCACGUGGUGCCUCGGUGUCCGGGGACCCGGGUUUCCCAGACUCCUCGCCUGAUGUUUCUACCCCCCAGCCUCCGCUCACCAUGCCCUUUCAAGAGGACGUGUUGACUCAAGAUGAACUACGCAGAAAGCUGUACCAGACCUUCAAGGACCGAGGUAUCCUGGACUCCCUCAAGACACAACUGAGAAAGCAACUCAUUCAAGAAUUGAUGCACCCUGUAUUGAGCGGAGAAAUGCAGCCCUCGUCCAUUUCAGUGGAAGGGAGUGCCCUUUUAAUAGGCGCUUCUAAUUCCCUAGUGGCAGAUCAUUUACAAAGAUGUGGCUAUGAGUAUUCACUUUCGGUUUUCUUCCCAGAAAGUGGCUUGGCAGAAGAAAAGGUAUUUACUAUGCAGGAUCUACUACAACUCAUUAAAAUCAAGCCUGAAUCCAGUCUCUACAAAUCACUGGUCUCAGGAUUUGAUAAAGAAAACAAAAAAGGUUUUCUCGUGGAGUUUCUAAAAGAAAUGGCAGAAUAUCAUCAGGCUAAAGAGACCUGUGACAUAGAUACUCAGACAAGUCCGAUGUUGCCUAGCAAAGACUCCCUUGCUGAGAAGCUUCAGAAUAUUGAUGAUCAGUUUGCAGGUGCUUGCCCUCAGCAUCCAAAGUUAGACUCUUUAGAAAAGAAGUUACGUGAAUAUAAGAGAGAAAUAGAACAACAGCUUCAGGCAGAAAUGCGUGAAAAGUUGAAGCAUUUCAAAAAUACUGAAAUAAUAAAGAUUAAAAUGGAAGAGAAAAGAAAGUCUGAAAAGGAAAUAGCAAAGUUCUGGAGUGAUGUUGAGAAAACUUGUCAAGCAAAAUCCGAAGCCCUCCUUAAUCGGGAAAAGUUGUCCCUUGAGAGAAUUCAGAAACACCAGGAGAUGGAGACAAAAGAAAUUUAUGCUCAAAGGCAGCUUCUACUAAAAGAUAUUGAUUUGCUAAGAGGCAGAGAAGCAGAGCUUAAGCAAAGAAUUGAAGCUUUUGAUAUGUCCCAGAAGAUACAACAAGAAAAACAUAAAACUGUGGCUGAUGCACUUAAGAGAAGGGAGCUGAAUAUAAAGAGUAUGGAAGAAACCUAUGAACAGAAGCUCAAGAGUGAAAUUCUAAAGUAUCAACUUGAGCUGAAGGACGACUACAUUUCCAAAAUUAACAAACUGGUUGAAGAAGACAGAAAGAAUAAAGAAAAAGCUAUACUUUUGCAAGAGCAGCUGUUGGCUCUUAAUUCAAAAAAGGAAGAACUCUAUCAUUGUGCAACUCGUGUGAAAGAACUUGAGCUUGAGCUCGAGUCUCUCAAGUCCCAGUGCUUGGCAAUAACCAAGCAAAACCACCUGCUGAAUGAAAAGAUAAAAGCGAUGAGUGACUAUUCACUUCUAAAAGAAGAGAAACUAGAACUUCAGGCUCAAAAUAAAUUACUUAUGCAACAACUGGAAGAGAGCAGAAAUGAAAAAGUGCAUCUCUUAAACCGCAUAGCUCAGCCAUCUCCUGAGCUGGUAAAUUUACAGAAACAGUUAAAGAAAGCAGAAGCUACUAUCGUGUUAGGGCAUAAGGAGUUUGAAAACCACAAGGAAGCUAUGCACAGACAGCUGCAAAGUGAAAUUGAACAUUCUGCAAAGCUGAAGGCCCAGAUAUUAGAUUAUGAUGCCUCUGUAAAGAGCUUAAAUAUGCAAGUGGUUGACUUAAAAUUGCAACUGAAACAAACUCAGACAGCCCUAGAGAAUGAAGUGUACCGCAAUCCAAAGACAGCUCUGUUCUCUCGUUCUGCCAGCGGACUCAUGGGGCCUCCUAAGGAUGAAAGAAACAGGAAUCGCUUGAAAAACCUUCUCAAACAGGAACAGCUGAUGGCAGACACAAUUGCAGCAAGGGUCUUAAAUUAUACAAAUGCAAGCACGGAUGGUAGCUCCCCAGAUUCUGAAAUUGAGUUUGUAGCCAGCACCAAAGCAAGAAUGAAAGAGCUAGAGCGCGAGGCUGAAAGCUUAGAAAAAGCUUUCCUAGAUUACCGUGAUAGAGUUGGUCAGUACCCUGCCGCUAGAAGCCCAGUGACAUCCAAGAGUCUGCCACCUGUGCGCUUGGAAGAAACUCUCAAGAACAUCAUUUCGGGUUCCUCAGAAAGACGUAUUUUUGCAGAGGAAGCAGCUGUGCCCGAGAAUCGUGCAGGCGGCGUGGUAGAAGCGCUGGGCGAUGCAGUCUCAUGGCUCUGCAGAGGCUCUAACAGACGCCUUUCCUCCACUCCUCUUGCUAGAAGAUGCCAUGAUAGUGAAAUGUAUCUGGAAGGUCUGUGCCAAUCCCAAGUUGCUUUUCCCAGUUCUUGUCCAGAAAGAAUGUUCCAGACUUCACCAACUGAGUCUAGGCACAGCCUCUCCUUCCAUUCGCUCUCGAGCUCUCUGGAGCAGAAAGCUGAUCUUUAUCAAAGACAAACUGAAGUUGAAGACAGAAGUGAAUUUUCAAAUGUGGACGAACUAUCUUUUAAGGAUGAUGAGGAACUUGAAUCAGAAUCAUCUUUUGAAUGUAAGUUCAAAUCGGACAUGUCAAUGCAGUUUGAAGUGAAUGGCCUACACCCUGGUGGCGACAUGUCUUCCUUGGGCGCGGCUGCAGCCGCUCUGCCUAACAGAUCUCUCUCCUCUCAGUAUCCAAAUGCAGAUGAGAAAGAAGUUAGAGAAGAGAGUGAAGAAGAAAGAAUAUGGAACCUGUUGAAAGAACAAAAGAAGAGAGAAGAAAAAAGGCAGAGUGAACAGAAAGCUUUGGAAAAGGAACGAAGAGAACUAGAAAAACUGGAUCAAGAAAGGCAGAUAAUUGAAGAAUCUUUGAAGACUGAAAUGGACAAAGAAUUAGAAGAGAGUGUUCAAGAAGAAAUGAAAGACAAAUCUGCUUGUGGUGAAAAUGCUUUGGAGAAAUAUAUGAAAAUCAUCCAGGAGGACCAAGACCCGAAGACGGUGGAUAAGGUACUGAUGCUGUAAACCGGAGAAGGCUCGCAAGUGGACACGCUGCCCUCUAGUGACAAAGAUGAAAGUUUCACAGGCCUGCCUCAUGAAGAACCAGAUGACUUUUGGUAAACACAUGUGUUGCCCAGCUUCUUUCUCAUGUAACAAUAAAAGGCCUAUGUUCUCUGUAAUAAACAGAAUUCUCAAUAAAAAUUGUUUGUGCAAUUCA